GGUGAACGCUGGCGGUAGGCCUAACACAUGCAAGUCGAACGGCAGCACAGUACUAGCUUGCUCUUACGGGUGGCGAGUGGCGGGCGGGUGAGGAAUACAUCGGAAUCUACUUUUUCGUGGGGGAUAACGUAGGGAAACUUACGCUAAUACCGCAUACGUCCUACGGGUGAAAGCAGGGGAUCUUCGGACCUUGCGCGAGUUCAUGAGCCGAUGUCGGAUUAGCUAGUUGGCGGGGUAAAGGCCCACCAAGGCGACGAUCCGUAGCUGGUCUGAGAGGAUGAUCAGCCACACUGGAAGUGAGACACGGUACAGAGUCCUACGGGAGGCAGCAGGGGGGAAUGUUGGACAAUGGGCGCAAGCCUGAUCCAGCCAUACCGCGUGGGUGAAGAAGGCCUUCGGGUUGUAAAGCCGUUUUGUUGGGAAAGAAAAGCAGCAGGUUAAUACCCCGCUGUUCUGACGGUACCUAAAGAAUAAGCACCGGCUAACUUCGUG
rnacentral:rRNA from 1 species